GAUGAACGCUGGCGGCGUGCCUAAUACAUGCAAGUCGAGCGAUCAGAUGCGUAGCUUGCUCCUCUGACGUUCGCGGCGGACGGGUGUGUAACAUGUGGAUAACCUACCUAUAAGACUGGGAUAACCUCGAGAAACCGGCGCUAAUACCGGAUAAUAUAUUCACCCACAUGGUUCAUUUGUUAAUGACCGUUUUGCUGUCACUUAUAGAUGGCUCCGCGCCGCAUUAGCUAGUUGGUAAGGUAACGGCCUACCAAGGCAACGGUGCGUAGCCGACCUGAGAGGGGGAUCGGCCACACGGGAACGGAGACACGGUCCAGACUCCUACGGGAGGCAGCAGUAGGGAAGCUGCCGCAAUGGGCGAAAGCCUGACGGAGCAACGCCGCGUGAGUGAUGAAGGUCUUCGGAUCGUAAAACUCGGUUAUUAGGGAAGAACAAAUGUGUAAGUAACUAUGCACGUCUUGACGGUACCUAAUCAGAAAGCCACGGCUAACUACGUG
rnacentral:rRNA from 1 species